rnacentral:rRNA from 1 species
GCCUACGGGGGGCAGCAGUGAGGAAUAUUGGUCAAUGGGCGGUAGCCUGAACCAGCCAAGUAGCGUGAAGGAUGAAGGUUCUAUGGAUUGUAAACUUCUUUUAUAAAGGAAUAAAGUGAGGCACGUGUGCCUUUUUGUAUGUACUUUAUGAAUAAGGAUCGGCUAACUCCGUGCCAGCAGCCGCGGUAAUACGGAGGAUCCGAGCGUUAUCCGGAUUUAUUGGGCUUAAAGG